rfam:Holdemania filiformis DSM 12042 genomic scaffold Scfld10, whole genome shotgun sequence.
UGGUGGAUGUGCAACUGGCGGAUCAGUGGAACAACCACAGGGAGCACAAUUCUGAAACAGCCGACCGCCUGGGCCGGGAGU